CGUUUUCGCUUUUGGUUUGAUCUGCCUGUACGAAAUCAGAGGUUCGAAGACUCGCGAAUGGCUCAUUAAAUCAGCUAUGUUUCAUUGGAUCUGUAAUACCCACUUACUUGGAUUACUGUGGUAAUUCAUAGCUAAUACAUGCUACUCGUCUCUGACCGCAAGGGAAGAUCGCUUUUAUUAUUUCAAAACCGGUCGGGCCUCGGUCCGCGCACCCUGUGUGGUGAAUCUGAAUAACUUUGUGCUGAGCGCACGGUCUCCGCACCGGCGCCGCAUCUUUCUAGUGUCUGCCUUAUCAACUUUCUAUUGUAGGUUAUGCGCCUACUUGGCUAUAACGGGUAACGGGGAAUCAGGGUACCAUUCCGGAGAGGGAGCCUGAGAAACGGCUACCACUUCUAAGGAAGGCAGCAGGCACGCAAAUUACCCACUCCCGGCA
rnacentral:rRNA from 1 species